UAACUUUGUUUCAAUACAGACAUUUGGUCGGCUGGCUGUGUACUGGCCGAGCUGCUACUUGGACAGCCGAUUUUUCCUGGUGACAGUGGCGUAGAUCAGCUUGUUGAAAUCAUCAAGGUGCUGGGAACUCCUACACGAGAGCAGAUCCGGGAGAUGAACCCAAAUUACACUGAAUUCAAGUUUCCACAGAUAAAGGCACACCCGUGGACGAAGGUUUUCCGGCCCCGGACCCCUCCGGAGGCGAUAGCUCUGUGUUCCCGGUUGUUGGAGUACACUCCUACGUCCCGAUUCACUCCUCUGGAGGCCUGCGCUCACACUUUCUUCGACGAGCUCCGUGAGCCCAACCUCAAGCUCCCGAAUGGAAGAGAGCGGCCUGUGCUGUUUAAUUUCACUACACAGGGUAUGCUGCACACAAAUGCACAAACGAUGAUGAUUGAUUGAAUCUUUUUGAGGCUCAGAGAUAAUUUGAUCAAAGAUGUGGUAAAAUAUUAUUACAAUUUAAAAUAACUGUUUUCCAUUUGAAUAUAUUUU